rfam:Rhodopirellula baltica SH 1 complete genome
GCGAGCCGUAUGCGGGAGAACCGCACGUACGGUUCUGAGGGAGGGGAGUCCGGCUCAACCGGACUUCCCUACCCCUAU